ACAGAGAUGGCGAGCGUUACUCGGAUUUAUUGGGUGUAAAGGGCAGGUAGGUGUUUUGCCAAGUUGUAAGUGAAAUCCUAAGGCUCAACCUUAGAACUGCUUACAAAACUGGCGAAAUUGAGAUUGGUAGAGGAAAGCGGAAUUCCCGGUGUACGGGUGAAAGCUGUAAAGCUGAGGAAGAACACCGAUGGCGAAGGGAGCAAACAGGACAAAAACCGACAGUAAGCCGGGUAAGCUCGUUGAGCAUACAG
rnacentral:rRNA from 1 species